ACCUGAUGAAGUUUUGAUGACGAGUCUUAUUCGGGUUUCCGAUGACGAGAAUAUCAACCAAUUUACCAUUCAUGCAAAGCCUGAUA
rnacentral:snoRNA from 1 species